UUCGGUGGUUUUGGCGAAGGGGAAACACCCGGUCCCAUUCCGAACCCGGAAGUUAAGCUCUUCAGCGCCGAUGGUACUGCAUGGGAGACUGUGUGGGAGAGUAGGACACCGCCGGACAUUUUUUGUAGGAAAGGGCCCCGC
rnacentral:rRNA from 1 species